UACGGGGGGUGCAAGCGUUACUCGGAAUCACUGGGCGUAAAGAGCAUGUAGGCGGAUUAAUAAGUUUGAAGUGAAAUCCUAUAGCUUAACUAUAGAACUGCUUUGAAAACUGUUGAUCUAGAAUGUGGGAGAGGUAGAUGGAAUUUCUGGUGUAGGGGUAAAAUCCGUAGAGAUCAGAAGGAAUACCGAUUGCGAAGGCGAUUUACUGGAACACAAUUGACGCUGAGAUGCGAAAGCGUGGGGAGCAAAC
rnacentral:rRNA from 2 species